rnacentral:rRNA from 1 species
UACGUAGGGUGCGAGCGUUGUCCGGAAUUACUGGGCGUAAAGAGCUCGUAGGUGGUUUGUCGCGUUGUUCGUGAAAACUCACAGCUUAACUGUGGGCGUGCGGGCGAUACGGGCAGACUGGAGUACUGCAGGGGAGACUGGAAUUCCUGGUGUAGCGGUGGAAUGCGCAGAUAUCAGGAGGAACACCGGUGGCGAAGGCGGGUCUCUGGGCGGUAACUGACGCUGAGGAGCGAAAGCAUGGGGAGCGAACAGG